rnacentral:rRNA from 1 species
GACGAACGCUGGCGGCGUGCCUAACACAUGCAAGUCGAGCGUGAACCCUGCGAAUGAAACUUCGGUCGAUUUUGCAGGGGGAAAGCGGCGGACGGGUGAGUAACGCGUAGGUAACCUGCCCCAUACUGAGGGAUAGCCUCGGGAAACCGGGAUUAAUACCUCAUAACACCGUAUAUUCGCAUGGAUGUGCGGUCAAAGAUUUAUCGGUAUGGGAUGGGCCUGCGUCUGAUUAGCUGGUUAGUGGGGUAACGGCCUACCAAGGCGACGAUCAGUAGCCGACCUGAGAGGGUGAUCGGCCACAUUGGAACUGAGACACGGUCCAAACUCCUACGGGAGGCAGCAGUGGGGAAUAUUGCACAAUGGGCGAAAGCCUGAUGCAGCAACGCCGCGUGAGCGAAGAAGGCCUUUGGGUCGUAAAGCUCUGUCGGGUAGGAAGAUAAUGACGGUACUACCCGAGGAAGCCCCGGCUAACCUACGUG